rnacentral:rRNA from 1 species
UACGUAGGUGGCAAGCGUUAUCCGGAAUUAUUGGGCGUAAAGAGCGCGCAGGUGGUUGAUUAAGUCUGAUGUGAAAGCCCACGGCUUAACCGUGGAGGGUCAUUGGAAACUGGUCGACUUGAGUGCAGAAGAGGGAAGUGGAAUUCCAUGUGUAGCGGUGAAAUGCGUAGAGAUAUGGAGGAACACCAGUGGCGAAGGCGGCUUCCUGGUCUGUAACUGACGCUGAGGCACGAAAGCGUGGGGAGCAAACAGGAUUAGAUA